CGCAAAUCAACAAUAGUCGCCAAGAUAGUCGCCAUGUUUUGUUCUCCUGCUGAAUCAGUCAGCGUUAUUUCCCUUCGUGAGUUGAUUUCAAUCUACAUUACUUUUAGGCGCCAUGCAUGAAUUUACGCCAGUAUUAAUUCGUCUUGCUCGUCAUCAUCAACUUAUUUGCUUGCGCUCGCGCAGCAUCCGGAUUUUGACGCGACGGACGCUGGCUGUGACGAUAUGCUGGUUCCGACAAAACAACAGUCCCGUUAGAAGACCGUACGCUACGAAAUGCCCCGCUAUGAAGGCCAAAGAAUGAACACAUUUCGGUAGAAGAGCC